rnacentral:rRNA from 1 species
AGGGACCCACGAGGAGUGCAGCCUGCGGAUUAAUUUGACUCAACAAGGGGAAACUCACCCGGCCCGGACACCCAAAGGAUUGACAGAUUGAUAACUUUUUCUGGAUUGCGUGGAUGGUGGUGCAUGGCCGUUCUUUGGGGUGGACCGAUUUGUCUGGUUUAUUCCCAUAACCAGACAGAUUUUCCACUACUAAAUAGCUCGCACAUUGUCUCUGUGCCUACGUCUUCGUAGAGGGACCUUCGGAGUACAACCUCCCAAAAUUAACCAAAACGAAGUCUGAAAACCGACGACUAGCCCGGGGCCCAAUGCCGACUACGGUGGACUUCUCUCGAUGGUUGGCCCUUCUGCACCGGUCCGAGAAAAACCCUGAACAUAUGCCUGGCCUGGGAGAGGACAUUGCGUCAAUUGUCCUGCUUUGAAGAAUUCUUACUAUGCUUGCGACUACGGUGAACUUGCCCGAUCGCCCUGCGCCUUGUCCCCACAUCCCGUCAGGGAUACCUCUGAGACGGCUCCAGAAAC